UACGUAGGCAGCGAGCGUUGUUCGGAAUUACUGGGCGUAAAGGGUGCGUAGGCGGUUCGUUAAGUCUGUCGUGAAAUCCCCGGGCUCAACCUGGGAAUGGCGAUGGAUACUGGCGAGCUAGAGUGUGUCAGAGGAUGGUGGAAUUCCCGGUGUAGCGGUGAAAUGCGUAGAGAUCGGGAGGAACAUCAGUGGCGAAGGCGGCCAUCUGGGACAACACUGACGCUGAAGCACGAAAGCGUGGGGAGCAAACAGG
rnacentral:rRNA from 1 species